rnacentral:rRNA from 1 species
GACGAACGCUGGCGGCGUGCCUAAUACAUGCAAGUAGAACGCACAGUUUAUACCUUAGCUUGCUACACCAUAAACUGUGAGUUGCGAACGGGUGAGUAACGCGUAGGUAACCUGCCUGGUAGCGGGGGAUAACUAUUGGAAACGAUAGCUAAUACCGCAUAAUAUUGAUUAUUGCAUGAUAAUUGAUUGAAAGAUGCUAUUGCAUCACUACCAGAUGGACCUGCGUUGUAUUAGCUAGUAGGUGAGGUAACGGCUCACCUAGGCGACGAUACAUAGCCGACCUGAGAGGGUGAUCGGCCACACUGGGACUGAGACACGGCCCAGACUCCUACGGGAGGCAGCAGUAGGGAAUCUUCGGCAAUGGACGAAAGUCUUACCGAGCAACGCCGCGUGAGUGAAGAAGGUUUUCGGAUCGUAAAGCUCUGUUGUAAGAGAAGAACGGGUGUGAGAGUGGAAAGUUCACACUGUGACGGUAUCUUACCAGAAAGGGACGGCUAACUACGUG